rnacentral:rRNA from 1 species
CCCUUAGAUGUUCUGGGCCGCACGCGUGCUACACUGAGUGGAUCAGCGGGUCAGGUUGCGCGAAAGCGUUUCCUAAUCUUUAAAUCCGCUCGUGAUGGGGAUUGACGGUUGCAAUUUUCUGUCAUGAACGAGGAAUACCUUGUAAGCGCGGGUCAUCAUCCCGCGCUGAAUACGUCCCUGCCCUUUGUACACACCGCCCGUCGCUCCUACCGAUUGAGAGGUCCGGUGAGGCUUUGGGAUCUGAGCGGAAAGAGCGUUUCGCUGUUUCUGCUCGGAAAACUCAGUCGAACCUUAUCAUUUAGAGGAAGGAGAAGUCGUAACA